AGAGUUUGAUUCUGGCUCAGGAUGAACGCUAGCUACAGGCUUAACACAUGCAAGUCGAGGGGCAGCAUUAGAUUAGCUUGCUAAUUAGAUGGCGACCGGCGCACGGGUGAGUAACGCGUAUCCAACCUUCCCCCUGCUCAGGGAUAGCCCGGUGAAAACCGGAUUAAGACCUGAUAGUUUCACUAGAUGGCAUCUGACGGUGAAUAAAGGUUUCGGCAUGGGAUGGGGAUGCGUCUGAUUAGCUUGUUGGCGGGGUAACGGCCCACCAAGGCAACGAUCAGUAGGGGUUCUGAGAGGAAGGUCCCCCACAUUGGAACUGAGACACGGUCCAAACUCCUACGGGAGGCAGCAGUGAGGAAUAUUGGUCAAUGGGCGGAAGCCUGAACCAGCCAAGUAGCGUGCAGGAUGACGGCCCUAUGGGUUGUAAACUGCUUUUGUGCGGGAAUAAAGUCAGGGACGCGUCCCUGUUUGCAUGUACCGCAAGAAUAAGGACCGGCUAAUUCCGUGCCAGCCGCCGC
rnacentral:rRNA from 1 species